rnacentral:rRNA from 1 species
UACAGAGGGUGCAAGCGUUGUUCGGAAUUAUUGGGCGUAAAGGGCGCGUAGGCGGUGCUGUAAGUCUGUUGUGAAAUCUCCCGGCUUAACUGGGAGGGUGCGGUGGAAACUGGGGUGCUUGAGUGUGGGAGAGGUAAGCGGAAUUCCUGGUGUAGCGGUGAAAUGCGUAGAUAUCAGGAGGAACACCGGUGGUGUAGACGGCUUACUGGACCACGACUGACACUGAGGCACGAAAGCGUGGGUAGCAAACAGG